CAGUGUUCACCUCUGCAACAUUAAAAUUUGAAUGACACACACACAAAAAACUGGCAUAGCCCCUGCAUAAGGAUGACACAAAUAUUUGUGAAAUAUUUCAUAUAUUU